rnacentral:rRNA from 1 species
UGGGGAAUAUUGGACAAUGGGCGCAAGCCUGAUCCAGCCAUGCCGCGUGAGUGAUGAAGGCCCUAGGGUUGUAAAGCUCUUUCACCGGUGAAGAUAAUGACGGUAACCGGAGAAGAAGCCCCGGCUAACUUCGUGCCAGCAGCCGCGGUAAUACGAAGGGGGCUAGCGUUGUUCGGAUUUACUGGGCGUAAAGCGCACGUAGGCGGACUUUUAAGUCAGGGGUGAAAUCCCGGGGCUCAACCCCCGGAACUGCCUUUGAUACUGGAAGUCUUGAGUAUGGUAGAGGUGAGUGGAAUUGCCGAGUGUAGAGGUGAAAUUCGUAGAUAUUCGGGAGGAACACCAGUGGCGAAGGCGGCUCACUGGGACCCAUUAGCUGACGCUGAGGUGCGAAAGCGU